UACAGAGGUCUCAAGCGUUGUUCGGAUUCAUUGGGCGUAAAGGGUGUGUAGGUGGCGCCGUAAGUCGGGUGUGAAAUUUCGGAGCUUAACUCCGAAACUGCAUUCGAUACUGCGGUGCUUGAGGACUGGAGAGGAGACUGGAAUUCAUGGUGUAGCAGUGAAAUGCGUAGAGAUCAUGAGGAAGACCAGUGGCGAAGGCGGGUCUCUGGACAGUUCCUGACACUGAGACACGAAGGCCAGGGGAGCAAACAGG
rnacentral:rRNA from 1 species